CAGCGAAGGUCCCAGCGGAGGGGUAUGGACUCUUUAAUUGAGGCCUCUCUAACACAUAAAACAUUAAACCUUCGUAGAUUCAUGAGCCGAAUCGUAGGAUGCCCGGAAUUUCUGUUUCUGGAACAUCUUGAACCCUCGGCUAAAUUUCA
rnacentral:snoRNA from 9 species